rnacentral:rRNA from 1 species
GAUGAACGCUAGCGGUAGGCUUAAUACAUGCAAGUCGAGGGGCAGCGGGGGUAGCAAUACCUGCCGGCGACCGGCAAACGGGUGCGGAACACGUACAGAACCUUCCUUUAAGUGGGGGAUAGCCCGAAGAAAUUCGGAUUAAUACCCCGUAAUAUUAUGGAGUGGCAUCACUUUAUAAUUAAAGAUUUAUCGCUUAGAGAUGGCUGUGCGGCUGACUAGGCAGUUGGUGUAGGUAACGGCUCACCAAGCCUUCGAUCAGUAACUGGUGUGAGAGCACGACCAGUC